AAUGAUUCAGUAGAUAAUCAGACUACCUUGCCAGUCGAAUUUCAUCUGGAGCAUUUCAGUGAGAUAUUUUCUCACGGAGAAUAUCAUCCUGAACUCCGAGAUUCUCUGAUCUAUACCGAAGUAGAAUUCGGUACAAUUGCAACAGUUAAAGGACCAGUUGUCCUCACAGGGUCAUCAAAGAUUCAUUCAUUGUAGAUGCCGUCGGGAAUGUGAAUUUUGGGAAUGGCUCUGUAGCAGACGGCGUGUACAGACUCACAGUACUUAUUGUUGAUUACAGGAUAAACCUAACACUGGCAAGAGGUCGCCGUGUUAAACUCUGGGAUAGUCUCGAAACUAAUGCAAUUGGAGGUCGUUAUCUGAGAGUACGCGAUAUGCAUAUCAUAUUCGACUGGUGCAUGAUGGAGCGAAAAUGUCGGAUGAAGAUUUGGAAGAUUCCAUUGUUCCAGUGUGGACUUGAUUAUCAGAACCGAGAGUCAGCAUUUAUGCAACCAGAAAACACGAGAAAUUCAGAAUUAAUUUCGAUUCAAAAUUCCGAAAAUUAACGAUUGAAAAGUAGAACGAAUGAGAGAUUCUAUUUUUCUAUG